ACCUGUUGAUCCUGCAGGAGAUUGCUACUAUUAGGAUGAGACUUAACUAUGCAAGUCAGGGGUUCUUUAUUGAACACCGGCAGACGGCUCAGUAACACGUCGAUAAUCUGCCCUAAGGUUCUGGAUAAGCUCGGGAAACUGAGUCUAAAACUGAAUAUGGAAUACAUUCUGGAAUGAAGUUUUCUUGAAACGUAAGGCCUUAGGAUGAGUCGGCGGCGGAUUAGGUUGUUGGUGGGGUAAUGGCCCACCAAGCCCGUGAUCCGUAGGGGCCUUGAGAGAGGUAGCCCCGAGAAGGACACUGAGACAAGGGUCCUGGUCCUACGGGACAUAGCAAGUGCGAAACCUUUACAAUGCACGAAAGUGUGAUAAGGUUAUCCUAAGUGCUCAAGCAUUGCUUGGGCUUUUGCCAAGUGUAAAUAUCUUGGCGAAUAAGUGGUGGGCAAGACCGGUGCCAGCAGCCGCGGUAACCCCGGCGCCACGAGUAGUGAUCAGUUUUAUUGGGCUUAAAGCGUCCGUAGCCUGUUUAUUAAGUCUUUUGUGAAAUCGAUAAGCUUAACUUAUCGGCGUGCAGAGGAAACUAAUAAACUAGGAACCGGGAGGAGUCAGAGGUAUUCUUGGGGGAGCGGUAAAAUGCUAUAAUCCCAAGAGGACCACCUGUGGCGAAGGCGUCUGACUAGAACGGGUUCGACGGUGAGGGACGAAAGCUGGGGGAGCGAUCCGGAUUAGAUACCCGAGUAGUCCCAGCUGUAAACGCUGCGAGCUAGGUGUUGCAUAUUCCACGAGAAUAUGCAGUGUCGAAGCGAAAGCAUUAAGCUCGCCGCCUGGGAAGUAUAGUCGCAAGACCGAAACUUAAAGGAAUUGGCGGGGGAGCACUACAAGGGGUGCGGCGUGCGGUUUAAUCUAACUCAACACAGAGAAUCUCACCAGAAGCGACGGCAGAAUGAAGGACAGGUUGAAGGCCUUUCCUAACGGGCCAAGAGGAGGUGCAUGGCCGUCGUCAGCUCGUGCCGUAAGGUGUCCUCUUAAGUGAGGCAACGAGCGAGACCUGUACCUACAAUUGCUAACUGCGUCCACGGACGGACUGAGCACAAUGUAGGGACUGCCUUGGAAACAAGGAGGAAGGUGCAGGCUACGGUAGGUCUGUAUGCCCCGAAUCUUCUGGGCUACACGCGCGCAACAAUGGUAGAGACAAAGGGAUGCAACCCCGAAAGGGGAAGCUAAACCUCCAAGCUCUAUCUCAGUCCAGAUUGAGGAUUGCAACUCAUCCUCAUGACGCUGGAAUCCCUAGUAACCAGGUGUUAUCAGCGCCCGGUGAAUAUGUCCCUGCUCCUUGCACACACCGCCCGUCAAACCAACCGAGCAGUGUUUGGGUGAGGUCUAGUUUUUAGCUAGCUCGAAUCUAAGCUCAGUGAGGUGGGUUAAGUCGUCACAAGGUA
rnacentral:rRNA from 1 species